UAGGGAAUCUUAGACAAUGGGCGAAAGCCUGAUCUAGCCAUGCCGCGUGUGUGACGAAGGCCCUAGGGUCGUAAAGCACUUUCGCCGGGGAUGAUAAUGACAGUACCCGGUAAAGAAGUCCCGGCUAACUCCGUGCCAGCAGCCGCGGUAAUACGGAGGGGACUAGCGUUGUUCGGAAUUACUGGGCGUAAAGCGCGCGUAGGCGGACUAUUAAGUCGGGGGUGAAAUCCCGGGGCUCAACCCCGGAACUGCCUUCGAUACUGGUAGUCUUGAGUUCGAGAGAGGUGAGUGGAAUUCCGAGUGUAGAGGUGAAAUUCGUAGAUAUUCGGAGGAACACCAGUGGCGAAGGCGGCUCACUGGCUCGAUACUGACGCUGAGGUGCGAAAGCGUGGGGAGCAAACAGGAUUAGAUACCCGCGUAGUCC
rnacentral:rRNA from 1 species